AGGCGGAGCGGACACGGGCUGCAGGGGAGGGCGGGGUUGGUGGGUUCGCGCCUCUGAGGGCUCGCGGCACUGGGCGACAGGCCGAGUGCGGGCAUCGGAAUGCGGGCGGCGGCGAGUGAUACAGUCAGUGAGUUUGCUGAGUGCCUAGUAAGUGCGAGGCACCUUUGCGGUCCCCGCUCCUCUUCCUGACGGCCUGUGAGCAGGAGCGGGGUGCGUCACUGGGACCACGGCUCACCGACUGCGGGUCCCAGCUCACCUGCACCUGGGCUUCUGAGUCUACAGAAGAGCCAGUCUGAGGCCUCAGAAGAAUUCCGGCAAGUUGGAGACCGGAUAGACAACCACAAGGAAAAAGACCAACCUCAGUGGCAAACUGCAUUAGCAGACAAGGAAGCACGGAAGGAUCAAAGUGGCCAAGAAUUCACAACCUUCAGAAAAAUCAUUUAUCAAGGCUCAGACUUUGUUUCUAUAAGGCAAAGACUCUCUAAAUACAAGUGUUCAAACAUAAUUUAAACUUUCUCCAUGUAAGUAAAGGCUUUUUUGUUUCAUAAAAAUGUUACAUUAAUGGAUUUUUCUGCUUCUCAGCAACACUCUUAAGCAAGGAGGAUAACGACAGUCACACGUAUCCUAAUGUUUUACAGCUUGAGGAAACAAUCAUAAGGAGUGUGUCUAAGACGCAGAGGUACUAAGCAGUAUAGCAAGCAUUAGCCCCCUACUCCAAGUCACAGUCUGUGGCUCCUUUGUAAAGCCCGUUUGUGUGCUUUUCCACGAGGCCCUUCAUCCCUCCAGACUUCACCCGACAGAAUAAAGGUGGGAACAUCGUA